UAGGGAAUCUUCGGCAAUGGGGGGAACCCUGACCGAGCAACGCCGCGUGAGUGAAGAAGGUUUUCGGAUCGUAAAGCUCUGUUGUUAAGGAAGAACGAGUGUGAGAAUGGAAAGUUCAUACUGUGACGGUACUUAACCAGAAAGGGACGGCUAACUACGUGCCAGCAGCCGCGGUAAUACGUAGGUCCCGAGCGUUGUCCGGAUUUAUUGGGCGUAAAGCGAGCGCAGGCGGUUAGAUAAGUCUGAUGUGAAAGCCCCCGGCUCAACCGGGGAGGGUCAUUGGAAACUGGUUGACUUGAGUGCAGAAGAGGAGAGUAGAAUUCCAUGUGUAGCGGUGAAAUGCGUAGAUAUAUGGAGGAACACCAGAGGCGAAGGCGACUCUCUGGUCUGUAACUGACGCUGAGGCUCGAAAGCGUGGGUAGCAAACAGG
rnacentral:rRNA from 1 species